rnacentral:tRNA from 1 species
GCAUUAAUGGGGUAGUGGUAACCUGGGUCGUUGCCAUAUGAGUUGUACUCGACCCGCCGGGGGUUCGAUUCCCCCUUAAUGCA